rnacentral:rRNA from 1 species
AUUGAACGCUGGCGGCAGGCCUAACACAUGCAAGUCGAGCGGAGCGGCGGACGGGUGAGUAAUGCCUAGGAAUCUGCCUGGUAGUGGGGGAUAACGUCCGGAAACGGGCGCUAAUACCGCAUACUCUCAGAUGAGCCUCGGUCGGAUUAGCUAGUAGGUGGGGUAACGGCUCACCUAGGCGACGCUCCCUAGCUGGUCUGAGAGGCUGAUCAGUCACACUGGAACGGAGACACGGUCCAGACUCCUACGGGAGGCAGCAGUGGGGAAUAUUGGACAAUGGGCGAAAGCCUGAUCCAGCCAUGCCGCGUGUGUGAAGAAGGUCUUCGUAUUGUAAAGCACUUUAAGUUGGGAGGCGUUACCAACAGAAUAAGCACCGGCUAACUUCGUGCCAGCCGCCGCGGUAGUAC